GAAGGAACGAGGCCUGUUAUCAUAAUUUCCCUCAAAUGUGAAGUAUUCGGCAGAAUGAUCAAGCCGAUUGAACCCCCCGAACAAUGGAUCGUCUGAGUCCAAGACAAUCUUGUAUUUUCCAGGCUUUAGGCACCCCACUCGGUAGUCGUAAUAGCUGUUACCCCAAUGGAAAUUGAAAACGAAAACCAGAUCCCCCCUCUCAAACACAAUGAUUUUAUCUCCAUCGUCUUUUCGAGAAACAUAUUGGUGUCCAGAUGUCAUGAAGCCAAAUGAUUCUUCA
rnacentral:misc_RNA from 1 species